AUACCGUGAUGAGGGCACUUUUGUAAUAACUCCUUGAACCGCUCCCAUGCCUCAUAUAAAGAUUCUUCAUCAAGUUGUUGAAAUGAAGUGAUUUCAUUUUGGAUCUU
rfam:Gossypium raimondii Chr12_contig_398, whole genome shotgun sequence.